rnacentral:rRNA from 1 species
UGGGGAAUAUUGGACAAUGGGCGCAAGCCUGAUCCAGCCAUGCCGCGUGAGUGAUGAAGGCCCUAGGGUUGUAAAGCUCUUUCACCGGUGAAGAUAAUGACGGUAACCGGAGAAGAAGCUCCGGCUAACUUCGUGCCAGCAGCCGCGGUAAUACGAAGGGGGCUAGCGUUGUUCGGAUUUACUGGGCGUAAAGCGCACGUAGGCGGACUUUUAAGUCAGGGGUGAAAUCCCGGGGCUCAACCCCGGAACUGCCUUUGAUACUGGAAGUCUUGAGUAUGGUAGAGGUGAGUGGAAUUCCGAGUGUAGAGGUGAAAUUCGUAGAUAUUCGGAGGAACACCAGUGGCGAGGGCGGCUCACUGGACCAUUACUGACGCUGCGGUGCGAAAGCGUGGGGAGCAAACAGG